rnacentral:tRNA from 1 species
GCCCGGGUGGUGGAAUGGUAUACACGGAGGACUUAAAAUCCUCUGCCUCACGGCAUGCGAGUUCGACUCUCGCCCCGGGCACCA